GUUUCCUUACCUUCCAGAGUCAGAGUGGCAGGGGCGGAGCCUUCUUCACACACCUGUCCUGGAUCCUGCUGAUGAGUGCAGCUGGCAUUUAAGCUCCUGGAUGUGAUCCAUUCCUUGCCGGAUUAUUCAGUGACACUGGACACUUUGUGAAGUCUGGAACUCACCUUUUGCUGGAGCUUCAGGACUCUUGGAUGUGGACUCUCUCCUGGAAACUCUCACCUGAAGGUCAACAAUCCUUCGUCCUGCCACUCUCUCUCUCUCUCUCUCUCUCGGACCUGGAACACAAACUUACCCCGAAAACGGAAUCACUUACCUCCUGGAUAUCCUUUGCCUCCUCCUCCGAGCUUACCUCCCUCCCAAGAGCCUGACGAAUCAACAUCCAUCAUUUCUUUUGUAAAUAAACUUCACUUAAACCUUUCAUCAGCCUCAUUGUUCUGGUUUUGCCUGCACUUGGGUACUCCUCCUGUUACAACUCAACAGUUGGUUGUCGUAUAGCAGAGUACAAAUGUCUGAUUUGCUGCCUCUGAGGAACAAGACUUCUGCGCUUUCACUAUGGCCAUUACUUUUCUCAUGCUCUUGUAUUUGCUUAUAGAUGUUUCCAAGCAUGCAGAAGCUGAAGGCUUUGCAAAUGCAAAACAUACUGAACAGAACAGGGAGUGAUUAGCUUCAUCUCAUGACAGCCAUUUUCUGUUUGUGCCAUCUUUUAAGGUGAAUACUUUUGGAA